rnacentral:rRNA from 1 species
AGUGGGGAAUAUUGGACAAUGGGGGAAACCCUGAUCCAGCGACGCCGCGUGGGUGAAGAAGGCCUGCGGGUUGUAAAGCCCUUUCGGUGGGGAAGAAAAGCCUCGACCUAACACGUCGGGGUAUUGACGUAACCCACAAAAGAAGCACCGGCUAACUCUGUGCCAGCAGCCGCGGUAAUACAGAGGGUGCGAGCGUUAAUCGGAAUUACUGGGCGUAAAGCGCGCGUAGGCGGCUUUGCAAGUCGGAUGUGAAAUCCCCGGGCUCAACCUGGGAACUGCAUUCGAGACUGCAUUGCUUGAGUAUGGGAGAGGGAGGCGGAAUUUCAGGUGUAGCGGUGAAAUGCGUAGAUAUCUGAAGGAACAUCAGUGGCGAAAGCGGCCUCCUGGACCAAUACUGACGCUCAAGUGCGAAAGCGUGGGGAGCAAA